rnacentral:rRNA from 1 species
AACCUGCGGAAGGAUCAUUACCGAGAGAGGGGCUUCGCGCUCCUGGGGGUUUCGGCCCCUAACUCUUCACCCAUUGUUUACCUAUCUCUGUUGCUUUGGCGGGCCUUGGGGUUCGCCCCGCGCCGGCCUUCGGACUGGUGAGCGCCCGUCAGAGGCCCAUUUCANUCUGUUUAUUCAGUGUCAUCAGAACAAAAAUUAUAAUAGUAAAAACUUUCAACAACGGAUCUCUNGGUUCCAGCAUCGAUGAAGAACGCAGCGAAAUGCGAUAAGUAAUGUGAAUUGCAGAAUUCAGUGAAUCAUCGAAUCUUUGAACGCACAUUGCGCCCCUCGGUAUUCCGGGGGGCAUGCCUGUUCGAGCGUCAUUACACCCCUCAAGCGUAGCUNGGUAUUGGGUCCUCGCCCCCGUGGCGUGCCCGAAAAGCAUUGGCGGUCCGGUGUGACUUUAAGCGCANUAAAUUCUCAUCCCGCUUUGAAAGUUCGCCCCGUGGCUNGCCAGACAACCCCAUUUAUUCCAAUAAUUGACCUCGGAUCAGGUAGGGAUACCCGCUGAACUUAAGCAUAUCAAUAAGCGGAGGAAAAAAACCCAACAA